AACGAACGCUGGCGGCAUGCCUAACACAUGCAAGUCGAACGAGACCUUCGGGUCUAGUGGCGCACGGGUGCGUAACGCGUGGGAAUCUGCCCGUUGCUACGGAAUAACUCGGGGAACUCGUGCUAAUACCGUAUGAUGUCGCAAGACCAAAGAUUUAUCGGCAAGGGAUGAGCCCGCGUAGGAUUAGCUUGUUGGUGAGGUAAAGGCUCACCAAGGCGACGAUCCUUAGCGGUCUGAGAGGAUGAUCAGCCACACUGGGACUGAGACACGGCCCAGACUCCUACGGGAGGCAGCAGUGGGGAAUAUUGGACAAUGGGCGAAAGCCUGAUCCAGCAAUGCCGCGUGAGUGAUGAAGGCCUUAGGGUUGUAAAGCUCUUUUACCCGGGAAGAUAAUGACUGUACCGGGAGAAUAAGCCCCGGCUAACUCCGUGCCAGCAGCCGCCGCGGUAAU
rnacentral:rRNA from 1 species